UACGUAGGGAGCGAGCGUUGUCCGGAUUCAUUGGGCGUAAAGAGCUCGUAGGCGGCUUGGCAAGUCGGGUGUGAAAACUCCAGCUCAACCUGGAGACGCCACCCGGAGACCUGCCAUGGCUAGAGUCCGGUAGGGGACCACGGAAUUCCUGGUGUAGCGGUGAAAUGCGCAGAUAUCAGGAGGAACACCGGUGGCGAAGGCGGCCCGCCUGGGAUACUUGCCUGACGCUGGAGGCGCGACAGCGUGGGGAGC
rnacentral:rRNA from 1 species